CAAUUUUAACUUUUCAGAAGCAUGUUGACUUUAUUUUGAUUGUUCAUACUCUCUCUUAUUAUCCUAGCUGUGAGCUUUUGAGCCUAAACACUUAAAUUCUUUGUUGUGUGAUUAUCCAGACAUGUGUUAUCCCUCUAGAACUUGCACUAAUUCUGACUUGCAUCACAUGUAAUUUAUGCAUACAUUGAGGCAAUUUUAUUGGUC
rnacentral:lncRNA from 1 species